rnacentral:rRNA from 1 species
CCCUUAGAUGUCCUGGGCCGCACGCGCGCUACACUGAUGCAUUCAACGAGUUUUACCUUGGCCGAGAGGCCUGGGCAAUCUUUUAAACCUGCAUCGUGAUAGGGAUAGAUUAUUGCAAUUAUUAAUCUUGAACGAGGAAUUCCUAGUAAACGCAGAUCAUCAAUCUGCAUUGAUUACGUCCCUGCCCUUUGUACACACCGCCCGUCGCACCUACCGAUUGAAUGGUCCGGUGAAGCCUCGGGAUUGUGGCCAGUUCACUUUAUUGGGAGUUGGCUGCGAGAACUUGUCUAAACCUUAUCAUUUAGAGGAAGGUGAAGCCGUAACA